rnacentral:rRNA from 1 species
UACAGAGGGUGCGAGCGUUAAUCGGAAUUACUGGGCGUAAAGCGCACGUAGGUGGUUAAUUAAGUCGAUUGUGAAAUACCUGGGCUUAACCUGGGAACUGCAGUUGAUACUGGAUAACUAGAGUGUGGUAGAGGGAAGUGGAAUUUCCGGUGUAGCGGUGAAAUGCGUAGAUAUCGGAAGGAACACCAGUGGCGAAGGCGACUUCCUGGACUGACACUGACACUGAGGUGCGAAAGCGUGGGUAGCGAACAGG